rnacentral:rRNA from 1 species
AUUGAACGCUGGCGGCAUGCCUUACACAUGCAAGUCGAACGGCAGCACGGGAGCAAUCCUGGUGGCGAGUGGCGAACGGGUGAGUAAUAUAUCGGAACGUGCCCAGUAGUGGGGGAUAACUGCUCGAAAGAGCAGCUAAUACCGCAUACGACCUGGGGGUGAAAGGGGGGGAUCGCAAGACCUCUCGCUAUUGGAGCGGCCGAUAUCAGAUUAGCUAGUUGGUGGGGUAAAGGCCUACCAAGGCAACGAUCUGUAGUUGGUCUGAGAGGACGACCAGCCACACUGGGACUGAGACACGGCGCAGACUCCUACGGGAGGCAGAGGUGGGGAAUGUUGGACAAUGGGCGCAAGCCUGAUCCAGCAAUGCCGCGUGCAGGAAGAAGGCCUUCGGGUUGUAAACUGCUUUUGUCAGGGAAGAAAUCCUCUAGGUUAAUACCCUUGGGGGGAUGACGGUACCUGAAGAAUAAGCACCGGCUAACUACGUGCCAGCCGCCGCCGUAAAAC